UUUUGCUAGUCCUAAAAACACUAAUGAAUAANGGGUGGGCAAGUUCUGGUGUCAGCCGCCGCGGUAAAACCAGCACCUCAAGUUGUCAGGAGGAUUAUUGGGCCUAAAGCAUCCGUAGCCGGCUCUGUAAGUUUCCGGUUAAAUCCAUUUGCUCAACAAAUGGGCUGCCGGAAAAACUGCAAAGCUAGGGAGUGGGANAGGUAGACGGUACUCGGUAGGAAGGGGUAAAAUCCUUUGAUCUAUUGAUGACCACCUGUGGCGAAGGCGGUCUACCAGAACACGUUCGACGGUGAGGGAUGAAAGCUGGGGGAGCAAACCGGAUUAAAUACCCGGGUAGUCCCAGCUGUAAACGAUGCAGACUCGGUGAUGCGCUGGCUUGUGGCCAGUGCAGUGCCGCAGGGAAGCCGUUAAGUUUGCCGCCUGGGAAGUACGUACGCAAGUAUGAAACUUAAAGGAAUUG
rnacentral:rRNA from 1 species